rnacentral:rRNA from 1 species
UUAAAUUGAAGAGUUUGAUCAUGGCUCAGAUUGAACGCUGGCGGCAGGCCUAACACAUGCAAGUCGAACGGUAGCACAGAGAGCUUGCUCUCGGGUGACGAGUGGCGGACGGGUGAGUAAUGUCUGGGAAACUGCCUGAUGGAGGGGGAUAACUACUGGAAACGGUGGCUAAUACCGCAUAACGUCGCAAGACCAAAGAGGGGGACCUUCGGGCCUCUUGCCAUCAGAUGUGCCCAGAUGGGAUUAGCUUGUUGGUGAGGUAACGGCUCACCAAGGCGACGAUCCCUAGCUGGUCUGAGAGGAUGACCAGCCACACUGGAACUGAGACACGGUCCAGACUCCUACGGGAGGCAGCAGUGGGGAAUAUUGCACAAUGGGCGCAAGCCUGAUGCAGCCAUGCCGCGUGUAUGAAGAAGGCCUUCGGGUUGUAAAGUACUUUCAGCGGGGAGGAAGGUGUUGUGGUUAAUAACCGCAGCAAUUGACGUUACCCGCAGAAGAAGCACCGGCUAACUCCGUGCCAGCAGCCGCGGUAAUACGGAGGGUGCAAGCGUUAAUCGGAAUUACUGGGCGUAAAGCGCACGCAGGCGGUCUGUCAAGUCGGAUGUGAAAUCCCCGGGCUCAACCUGGGAACUGCAUUCGAAACUGGCAGGCUUGAGUCUUGUAGAGGGGGGUAGAAUUCCAGGUGUAGCGGUGAAAUGCGUAGAGAUCUGGAGGAAUACCGGUGGCGAAGGCGGCCCCCUGGACAAAGACUGACGCUCAGGUGCGAAAGCGUGGGGAGCAAACAGGAUUAGAUACCCUGGUAGUCCACGCCGUAAACGAUGUCUACUUGGAGGUUGUGCCCUUGAGGCGUGGCUUCCGGAGCUAACGCGUUAAGUAGACCGCCUGGGGAGUACGGCCGCAAGGUUAAAACUCAAAUGAAUUGACGGGGGCCCGCACAAGCGGUGGAGCAUGUGGUUUAAUUCGAUGCAACGCGAAGAACCUUACCUGGUCUUGACAUCCACGGAAGUUUUCAGAGAUGAGAAUGUGCCUUCGGGAACCGUGAGACAGGUGCUGCAUGGCUGUCGUCAGCUCGUGUUGUGAAAUGUUGGGUUAAGUCCCGCAACGAGCGCAACCCUUAUCCUUUGUUGCCAGCGGUUAGGCCGGGAACUCAAAGGAGACUGCCAGUGAUAAACUGGAGGAAGGUGGGGAUGACGUCAAGUCAUCAUGGCCCUUACGACCAGGGCUACACACGUGCUACAAUGGCGCAUACAAAGAGAAGCGACCUCGCGAGAGCAAGCGGACCUCAUAAAGUGCGUCGUAGUCCGGAUUGGAGUCUGCAACUCGACUCCAUGAAGUCGGAAUCGCUAGUAAUCGUGGAUCAGAAUGCCACGGUGAAUACGUUCCCGGGCCUUGUACACACCGCCCGUCACACCAUGGGAGUGGGUUGCAAAAGAAGUAGGUAGCUUAACCUUCGGGAGGGCGCUUACCACUUUGUGAUUCAUGACUGGGGUGAAGUCGUAACAAGGUAACCGUAGGGGAACCUGCGGUUGGAUCACCUCCUUACCUUAAAGAA